rnacentral:lncRNA from 1 species
GGAAUGGGAGCCGAUGUGCAUGCCCGCGGAAGACGGACGGCGGUUGAGCUUGGCUGCUGCCGAAAGUGAAAUGCAGUUUGGAAACUAAUUUGCGUAAGUGAUCGAGAAAAAAAAGUAGAAGCGGCAUCGGUUUAUUUCCCGCCCCAGGUUGGCAAUAUCCCUCUCCGUCGCUGGGCGCCGAUAUAGGGAGGCGAGCGACACACGCGCACUGCACACAGCCACUGGGCGCCGGUGUAGGAUCACGUCAGCCGCAUCUCCUCAACCGGCCCAGUGCAGCCUAUUGCCUUCAAGAUGUGCACUCGCCGAGUCGCAUUCACUGUCCUCUGCGUGGCGCUGGUGAUAGCGCUCGUGACGCAAGAAGCGCACGCAACGAAGCUAAAGAAAUUGGCCAAGAUUGCACUCAUCGGCGCCGCCCUGGGGCCAAGGGUGGUCCCUGUUCCCAUCGCAGUCGGCCACCAUCACCACGCCCACCACGCCCAUCACGCGCCUAUCCAUCAUGCGCCUUUCCCUCAUCACGGCUGGCACGGAGGUUGGCACGCCGGCUGGCACGGAGGCUGGUGAUGAGAAAACUACCGCGGACAGGUGGCGACAGAGGCUUGGAGCACGGCAGGGUCUGUCUUACAGCCAGGAGAUGCCCAUACUGACUCAUUGUGAAGCAUGCAGCUCCGGCUGAUUAGUCGAAGCCUGAAGGGUGACAAGCAUAGUCUUCGAAGGACUUCGUAUUCAGCUCGUCGACGGAAGCGAUGGCCCCACAACAGGGAACGAGCGAUGCGACGUAGGCCAGUGACGUCACGAGGAUGUCGCAGGCCUUCCCAAUAACCAUUCCUAACGCAUCACUAGCCUGCUCUGCGAACAAUAAAAGUUCCAGAGCAUACCAUGACUUUGAGCGCAGGUGGAGUGGAGAGAUAUGUGAUAGCUAUAGCCGUAAUAGAGGAAUACAUGUUACUAGUCUCACUAGUCGGUAACGAUUUCGUUGUAGUGUAAACCACAUUCUACAUACUAUUAACUACCAACCUUACAGUUUCAUCACUUACGCAUCCAGGCAUACCUAACAUGGUACCUGCUUCACGACCACAAGCAUGGAUUCACGGAUAACUUGGGGCGGACGCUAGCACUUAUAUACGUAUGAUUCGUGUGUGUCUUUUGGCUUUAAUAGCCGCUAGCAUUGUAUUAACAUUACUGCUGGCCUAGCGAGUUCACUAUCACGUUCU